rnacentral:lncRNA from 1 species
GGUCAUAGAAGGCCCAAUAACACGUAAGCAUAUUCCCUUUAGGCCCAAAGAUCAUGUUAAUGGGCUAGCAAGGCCCAACAAGCAUGAUUUGAAACUUCCAAGCCCAAAGUUUGUAAGUUAGCUCAUCAUAGUUAUCGCGUGUUUAUUGAAAUGCUUUGGUUUAACGAUUUUGUUUUGUUAUUGAUUCGAGACCGAAUCAAUUCGUUUUGUAACGAUAUUUGUUAUUGAGAGUGUAUUUGUUUUCCGUUUCGUCGGUAGUCGUGGAUCUUGUAUUUUGUAUUAAUGAAUUAAUUUGUUUGAAAGUGGAAUUUGACCCUUUUCACUACCCUUCUUUUAUAAAAAUANUGUUAUUGAUCGAGACUGAAUCAAUUCGUUUUAUAACAAUAUUUGUUAUUGAGAGUGUGUUUGUUUUCCGUUUCGUCGGUAGUCGUGGAUCUUGUAUUUUGUAUUAAUGAAUUAAUUUGUUUGAAAGUGGAAUUUGACCCUUUUCACUACCCUUCUUUUAUAAAAAUAACACUUUUGGUCUUUUUAUAUAAAAGAAUUUCAUUUUUAGUCCUUAAAACACUUUUCUUGACAUUCUUGUAUUAUUUAUUUGAUGUAAACACGAUUUUAACCCAAAGUUUACUUUGUUGACAGCUUCAGCCCCUCUAGAAUAGUGAUUCUCGGUUAGGGACCCAUUUUUCACAACUUUUACCGUUUUGGCCCAAAAUCUAAAAAGUUUACAUUUUUGGUCCUUUUUGUUAGUGAAAAGCAUUUUUGACCCUUAUAAACAUUUUGUUAU